UACAGAGGGUGCAAGCGUUAAUCGGAAUUACUGGGCGUAAAGCGAGCGUAGUCGGUUAUUUAAGUCGGAUGUGAAAUCCCCGGGCUCAACCUGGGAAUUGCAUUCGAUACUGGAUAGCUAGAGUUCGGCAGAGGGAAGCGGAAUUUCUGGUGUAGCGGUGAAAUGCGUAGAUAUCAGAAGGAACAUCAGUGGCGAAAGCGGCUUCCUGGACCAGAACUGACGAUCAGGCUCGAAAGCGUGGGGGAGCAAAAGGG
rnacentral:rRNA from 1 species